rnacentral:piRNA from 1 species
GACAUGUCCUCACAUUUGGUCUUUGGGAAGC